AGUGUUGAUGAGCUUAUGUGUUUAAUUAAAGUGUUGAUGAGCUUAUGUGUUUAAUUAAAGUGUUGAUGAGCUUAUGUGUUUAAUUAAAGUGUUGAUGAGCUUAUGUGUUUAAUUAAAAGCUAUUCGAUACAUUUUUAGCUCUACCAUUUGUAACACAAAAUACAACUCGUAAUGGAGGAAGCUUCAGACCUUCACUCUAUGAAUUUUUGCAGUUUUAAUCUAGUUGGCAACUUUGAGGUUCAAGGUAGCGUCCUUGACCUUUUUUUUUCCAGUUUAACUUGAAAAUCUCCUAUCGUAAUACUAAUUUUACAGAAAUUACGUAAAAUAUAAAGGGUGGAACAUCUGCUAACUAGUACACUUGGUUAUGGAAAGUGUGUCGGUACACGAAAUGUGCGGUAUGUGAAUCAAUUGUCCCAUGAGAAAUAAAAGACAUAGAAGCCAUUGGUUCCCAGCCCAUGUUGAGUUGCUAAUAUAGGAAAGUUCCAGGCUAUAAUGGUGUGUUUGUUUGUUUUUCAGUGAGAACAGAUAGAAUACAUUAUAAAAUGAAAUGAAAUAACAAGAAAUUAAAAUAACAUACUGCUACGAGGGGUACUUCCCUGCAUGAGAACAUGUGGCAGUUGGAAAUCUUGGGUGACUAAUGCUUGGUCUGAGAGGCUGGUCGAAGACAUGUCGGUGAGGUAUCUGUUCGGUAUCUGAAUUUUGUGCAAAGUUUGUUACGAAACUUUUGGUUAUUAAUCGAAAUGUUCGCUAUCACAGGUGUUCGCUUAAAAGAGGCCGUAUUGCUGUUAUAAAAUAGUAAAAAAAAAGUAACCCUUUCAGACCUUCCGAUCUCUGGUUGCAGAGAAUGUAAAACUCAUUUCUUUCUGUAGUCAACGGUUAACGAGGGUGUCAUGUGGCCAGCACAACGACCAACCGCCUUGACGUUCCCCUACUAAUGUCAGGUACCCAUUAGUCUAUGAUUAGAGUUUGUUGGACUCAGUGGUGACCUAAUGAUCCCGAAGUUUACGAUCUCAUUUUUCACCGACAUUUGAACCCGAGACACCUCUGUCCUAAAGCAAAGCUUUAACACUUAACCACCACGUCCGAUAUUUUAUAAAACGCAAAUGAAAUUAGCAACACAUUUUUUGCUAAGGUCCUUUAGCACAUGUGUUCAAAUGUUAUGUUUGCACUAAACGCAUGUGUUCAAUUGUUAUGUUUGCAUUGAACACAUGUGUUGAAUUGUUUAUGUUUGCAUUUAGCACAUGUGUCUGCUUCUAUCAGCAAGUGCCAGCGAGUUUGUUCGUUGACCAGGAUUAUAUCUGUGUAGGAACGUGGUGAGUCUGUGUUUAUCUGUGUAUGUUUCAAGCCCUUGUUAUAAUCUCUUACUUGCUAACCGCAGAAACUGUGAUGCUGUUUUUUUUUAUCUAUGUCGAGCUAUCCUUGUGUUGUUGUUGUUUUUUUCUUUUUUGCCCAUGGGGGUGACUUGUUGCCAUUGUUGUAUUAUCUACAUUGACUGUAAUUACUUUUCAAACUUAAUAUAUCCUCACCCUCACCAAAGAUCAUGAGUUCAAUUCUCUUCAAUCUUGUAUUAUGUAUAGCGUUCUCAUUACUCUGUGAUCUCUGCCGUAGUGUUAAAAGUCAAGUUUGAACUUGCAAGCCUUUUUUUUUGUAUGAUAUGCUCGGAGCCUUGUGAUUGGCUGGCCUCUUGGCUCAACUCGUUUUUAGAACGAGGCUGGGACGACAGAGCACGUGGCUCCGGACGAGACCAAUCGUCAUAGCAGGCCUGAACACUGACCCGUGAUGUACGUUUAACCUUGUUUUCACGUCACAGGUCUGAGGUCAAGAUCGGUGACAUGGCAACGAGCUAUUGGUCUCCAAUACCCAUAGGUUUUGACGUCGCAGGUCAGUGUUUAGGACUUCUAUAACGAUUAAUUUUCGGUGCAAAUACAUUACAUUCUAAUUCAUUCUAUCCAAUUGGUUUUUGGACUAAAUGGUGACGUCUCGACCUUCGUCCAAAUGGUAUUCUCGUGGACUGUAAACAUUAAUAUGCGCGUUGAUUAAUCAGAUAAAGAACUGAUCAGGUGUAAACAAAAAGUGUUCUAAUACAUAAGACUGGAAUGUAUUGAUUAAUUAAUCAGCUGUUCUAGUACUUCCUUUCGCCUCUACGGUAACAUGUUCUUGAGCACACUGGUUUUAAAUGGCCUCCUUUAUUAUAAGAUCUCAAUAUUAUAAACUCUGCCAUAAUCUAUAUUCUUUUACUCGACAUUAUGUUCAUUAUCUCCCUUUUACGUUCCAUUAUUCUUGCUUGACAUGGAUACAGAAAUUGUGUAUAUAAAUUUGUUUUUCUUAAAUAUUUUUUAAAAUUUAAAUAUUGGUUUUAUAGACUCAGGGCUGUGCAGUGACUGAAGGUAGCUGAGUAAUUUUCUGUUUGAACGGUUUCUCCUCUAAAGCCUGCUUAUAUGAGUCUGAGAUAUGAUAGUCUUUUUUUUUCCUGAAUAUGUUUUACAUUGACCUGCUCUCAACUACUCACUCAGUAAAUCCUCUGCACUGCCCUGACAACUCAUAAUGCACAUUGUCACUGUUAUAAGGGAGUCAACUCACUAGUGCGUACUUCCAUUGUAUCACGUGACGUCAUUGUCGCCUGACAACCAUAAUACAUGUAUAAACAAAUAUUUUAUGCAUAUAUUAAAUCAUCAGAACAUGAAGUGCCAUGUAUAUGUUUCUCGCUUUUCUGUUGCUGUCGCGAAUUUGUAAAUGAUCAAAUAAAAUAUCUUCGUCAUUAUCUGUUCAUGAUGUGGGUAACUGUGACAGACAUUGUUUUGUUUUUGCCAAUUUGUUCGACAAACUUUUUACUGUCUUUGAAGAUUUGAUCUGAACAAAUAAAAGAAUGUUUUUGUUUUGUUUUGCAAUAAAGGAUUUCUACAGAACGAAGAA
rnacentral:sRNA from 1 species